CAGCAGCCACGGUAAUACGGAGGGUGCAAGCGUUAAUCGGAAUUACUGGGCGUAAAGCGCACGCAGGCGGUCUGUUAAGUCAGAUGUGAAAUCCCCGGGCUCAACCCGGGAACUGCAUUUGAAACUGGCAGGCUUGAGUCUUGUAGAGGGGGGUAGAAUUCCAGGUGUAGCGGUGAAAUGCGUAGAGAUCUGGAGGAAUACCGGUGGCGAAGGCGGCCCCCUGGACAAAGACUGACGCUCAGGUGCGAAAGCGUGGGGAGCAAACAGGAUUAGAUACCCCUGUAGUCCCUGUCUCUUAUAC
rnacentral:rRNA from 1 species